UACGAAGGGGGCUAGCGUUGCUCGGAAUGACUGGGCGUAAAGGGCGCGUAGGCGGCUCUAUAAGUCAAAGGUGAAAUCCCUCGGCUCAACUGAGGAACUGCCUUUGAAACUGUUGGGCUUGAGGCCGGGAGAGGGUAGUGGAAUUCCCAGUGUAGCGGUGAAAUGCGUAGAUACUGGGAGGAACACCAGUGGCGAAGGCGGCUACCUGGACCGGUUCUGACGCUGAGGCGCGAAAGCGUGGGUAGCAAACAGG
rnacentral:rRNA from 1 species